GCCCGGGUGGCUCAGUCAGUUAAGUGUCCGACUUCAGCUCAGGUCAUGAGCUCACAGUUGGUGGGUUCAAGCCCCUCCUCGGGUU
rnacentral:tRNA from 1 species